rnacentral:rRNA from 1 species
GUGAGGAAUAUUGCGCAAUGGAGGCAACUCUGACGCAGCCAUGCCGCGUGCAGGAAGAAGGCGCUACGCGUUGUAAACUGCUUUUAACCGGGAAGAAACCCCAGGACGUGUCCUGGGUUGACGGUACCGGAGGAAUAAGCACCGGCUAACUUCGUGCCAGCAGCCGCGGUAAUACGAAGGGUGCAAGCGUUAUCCGGAUUCAUUGGGUUUAAAGGGUGCGUAGGCGGAGCGUUUAGUCAGUGGUGAAAUCCUGCAGCUUAACUGUAGACUUGCCAUUGAUACUGGCGCUCUUGAGUGCGCUUGAAGUGGGCGGAAUGUGCCGUGUAGCGGUGAAAUGCUUAGAUAUGGCACAGAACACCAAUUGCGAAGGCAGCUCACUAAGGCGAUACUGACGCUGAGGCACGAAAGCGUGGGGAUCGAACAGGAUUAGAUACCCGAGUAGUCC